CUGGUUUUCACAAUGAUCGUCCAGA
rnacentral:miRNA from 1 species